rnacentral:rRNA from 1 species
GACGUAGGGCGCGAGCGUUGUCCGGAUUUAUUGGGCGUAAAGAGCUCGUAGGCGGCUUGUCGCGUCGUCCGUGAAAACCUGCAGCUCAACUGCAGGCUUGCGGUCGAUACGGGCAGGCUAGAGUUCGGUAGGGGAGUCUGGAAUUCCUGGUGUAGCGGUGAAAUGCGCAGAUAUCAGGAGGAACACCGGUGGCGAAGGCGGGACUCUGGGCCGAUACUGACGCUGAGGAGCGAAAGCGUGGGGGAGCAAACAGG